rnacentral:miRNA from 1 species
UGUUAAACUUGCAAGAUGACA